GAUGAACGCUGGCGGCGUGCCUAAUACAUGCAAGUCGAGCGAACAGACGAGGAGCUUGCUCCUCUGACGUUAGCGGCGGACGGGUGAGUAACACGUGGAUAACCUACCUAUAAGACUGGGAUAACUUCGGGAAACCGGAGCUAAUACCGGAUAAUAUAUUGAACCGCAUGGUUCAAUAGUGAAAGACGGUUUUGCUGUCACUUAUAGAUGGAUCCGCGCCGCAUUAGCUAGUUGGUAAGGUAACGGCUUACCAAGGCAACGAUGCGUAGCCGACCUGAGAGGGUGAUCGGCCACACUGGAACUGAGACACGGUCAAGACGCCUACGGGAGGCAGCAGUAGGGAAUCUUACGCAAUGGGCGAAAGCCUGACGGAGCAACGCCGCGUGAGUGAUGAAGGUCUUCGGAUCGUAAAACUCUGUUAUUAGGGAAGAACAAAUGUGUAAGUAACUAUGCACGUCUUGACGGUACCUAAUCAGAAAGCAACGGCUAACUACGUG
rnacentral:rRNA from 1 species